rnacentral:rRNA from 1 species
AACGAACGCUGGCGGCAUGCCUAACACAUGCAAGUCGAACGAGACCUUCGGGUCUCGUGGCGCAAGGGUGCGUAACGCGUGGGAACCUGCUCUUAGGUUAGGAAUAACUCCCUGAAAGGGGUGCUAAUACCGGAUAAUGUCUCUGGACCAACGAUUUAUCGCCUUUGGAUGGGGCCGCGUUGGAAUAGAUGGUUGGUAGGGUAAAAGCCUAACAAGGCGACGAUCCAUAGCUGGUCUGAGAGGAUGGUCGGCCACACUGGGACUGAGACACGGCCCAGACUCCUACGGGAGGCAGCAGGGGGGAAGAUUGGACAAUGGGCGAAAGCCUGAUCCAGCAGUGCCGCGUGAGUGAUGAAGGCCUGAGGGUUGUAAAGCUCUUUUACCCGGGAUGAUAAUGACAGUACCGGGAGAAUAAGCUCCGGCUAACUCCGUG